UUUUAACACUGUUCAUUUGGUCUGGUCCCAUGUCAUCUCAUCAUAGGCUAGUUGUAAGGGAAGCCAUAUAUUUUCCCUGUGCUUGACACAGCACAAACACGUCUUCCUUGGCGCCCAGUGGUACUAGGUCCAACCAGAGGAAGGCUUAAUGUUGAAGAGCAUGAUUUGAAGUUCAAGGUGUUCUUUACCCUGGCUCAUUUGAGCACAAAGAGGAGAGCCCAGAAGCACGCAAACAGCAGACAGCUGGAGGGAAGCAAGCAUCAGAGGCAGGUGGCUUCUGUGGUAGAAGGAAGUAGAAAGCCACGUGUCUACUUUAUUCCCAGAUGUGAUGAUUCUCAGUUUUAGCAUCGUGGCAAAGUGAAACUUCCAUUUCACACUGAUACUCCUAGUCUGGGGCCAGCGGUCAUUAACGGGGUACAUCUUAAGCUGCAGAGAGUCCCAAACACCUAGGGGUCCUCGGGGUCUGGGAGAAUCAGUAUUUCUCAGGAGCUUCUGGUCCUGACCUAACCCACAGAGAAGCUGAGUCCUGGGUAUGGUGAGAGCUGCAUCUGCAGUCACUCUCCAGGAUCCUGCUUCUCUCCUGCAGCUCAGUUGAGAGGUCUCAGCACUUUCUUCUCGCUAGUCUUUGCUCCUCUGUCUCAUGCAUCAGAACUCCUUUGAGAUCAGUUCACCUGUACUCAAGGAGUCUCUGCCUGGGCCAAGACCUGUGUGGACUGGGGCACGAUAGGCUAUGUUGUGAGUGAGCUCCUGACCUCACAAAGUUUAGAAUCUAGACAGAAGACCCUGAAGAAAGCCCAUCUCUGUGGAUCGUUCACUGUCUUCCCAGUGUCUAGUGUGGGACCUGACGAGAGACGAGGACAAUGGAAGGAUGGUAGUAUUAAUUCCUGGGCUUGUUAGUGGUGCUGAUGGGAACCUGGGUUUAGAUUAAUUAGUGUUCAACCAACUCUCUGUUUCUUUCCAGUCAUUGCCAUCUGGACACAUACAAGGAACCUUUGAACUAGCAAAUAAAG
rnacentral:lncRNA from 1 species